rnacentral:tRNA from 1 species
GCCCACAUAGCUCAGUCGGUAGAGCACACCCUUGGUAAGGGUGAGGUCACGGGUUCGAAUCCCGUUGUGGGCU